UUCUACAAGUAUAAUUCAUGUGUGAGCAAUAUUAUUUCUAUUUUGUUAUAUUAUUUACAUAUAUGAUCCUGUGUGUUUGUAGGAAAUCAUAAGCCUGCUGAGAGAAUGUGUGUCUCUUCAGUACUGACCUGGUAUCUGGGAGCUCAAACAUGAAAUAGAACAAGCUUCCUUUUUAGUCCCUACAAAGUUUAAAAUGGUGGCAAUAAAGAUCAGGAGUGUGAUCUUAGAAACUUAGGAGCAGCUUUGUUUUUCUUGUAUAGGAAAGCUCUGUAAUAAUUUAUCUUUAGCCUGCUUUGCACAUAGUAGGUACUCAUCAUAUAUCAUUUGAUUAUAAUGACCAGAAAAAGUUGGCAAAGAAUUUCAUUUCUUUGGUUGAUCUUAAAGCAGUGUCAUUUUUGAGUGACUUGACUUAUAAAGAUUUCUUCUCAUUUCUCUACUUUUUUUUCUUUUUCACAUUUUUUAUGUCAUUUUUGAAACUUUAUGGGAUGACACUUUCUCUUGUUGAGCUAUCUGUUUAAGAUAAAGAGUUGUCAUUCAUAGUGGUCCUAGUUGGGCAGGUCAGUCUUGACAUGUGAGAACAGGAUGCAGCAGUAUUGGAGAUUUCUUCCUAGAGAUCAGGCAGAAAUUUGCUAUUGCAACAGGUGGUGAUAUAGAUGCUUCCUCGGUGUUAUCUCAUCAUCUGUGUGCUUCCUUUUUAAUUAUUUGUCAAGAUCGUGAUCCUCUGAUUUCAUGUGGUCAGUUAAAAAGAGUUUUAGCUUUCUUGAGCCGCUCCCAUGCAGUCCCUGCCCACCCUGGUCUAUAGUGCUUGCAGCUUUUCUCCUUUACGAUGCCUGAGGAAGUGCACCAUGGAGAGGAGGAGGUGGAGACUUGCCUUCCAGACAGAAAUUGCCCAGUUCAUGUUUCUUGUCAUCAAUACCUUCUGUUCCAAGGAGGAAAUUUUCCUUUGGGAAUUGAUCAGUAGUGCAUGGACAAGAUUCUCUAUCAGAGCCUGACAGACCCUUCUAAGUUGGACAGUGUUAAAAAACUGAAACCCCUAGGAAUACACCCUGACUCCGGUGGACACAGGCCUUUACAUAACCAAAGCUGACCUCAUAAAUAAUUUGGGAGCCAUUGCCAAGUUGGGUACUAAAGCAUUUAUGGAGCCUCUUUAGGCUGAUGCAGACCUCUCUGUGAUUGGACAGUUUGGUGUUGGCUGUUAUUCUGCCUCCAUGGUGGCAGAGAAAGUGACUGUGAUCACGAAGCAUAGUGAUGAUGAGUAGUGUGCCUGGGAGUCUUCUGCUGGGACUCCCUCACUAUAUAUGUGGACCAUGAUGAGCCCAUUGGCCGGGCUACCAAAGUGGUCCUCCACCUUAAAGAAGACCAGAGUACUUGGGAGAGGCUGGUCAAAGAAGUGGUGAAGAAGCACUCACAGUUAUCCCAUCACCCUUUAUUUGGAGAAGGAACAAGAGAAAGAAAUCAUUGAUAGUGAGGCAGAGGAAUAGAAAGGUGAGAAAGGAGAUAAAGAUAAUGAGAAACCCAAGACUGAAGAUGUGGGCUCAGGUGAGGAGGAUGAUAGCAGGAAGGACAACAAAAAGAGAACAAAGAAGAUUAAGGAGAAAUGUAUUUAUCAGGAAGAACUGAACAAGACAGGCUCAUUUGGACCAGAAACUCUGGUGACAUCACCCAGGGGGAAUAUGGAGGGUUCUACAAGAGUCCUACCAAUGACUGGGAAGACCACUUGGUAGUCAAGCACUUAUCUCUAGAAGGUGAGUUAGAGUUUAGAGCAUUGCUGUUCAUUCCCUGUUGGGCUCCUUUUGAUUUCUGAGAACAAGAAUAAAAAGAACAAUAUCAGACUCAGUCUGCUGUCUGUUCAUCAUGGACAGCUGUGAUGAAUUGAUAAGAGAGUAUCUCAACUUCAUCCAUGGUUGUGGUUGACUCUGAGUACCUGCCUCUGAACAUUGCCCAUGAAACACUGCAACAGAGCAAAAUCUCCAAGAUCAUUUGCAAAAAUACUGUGAACAUGUGCCUUGAGCUCUUUGAGGUGGCAGAAGACAAGGAGAACUAUAUAAGAAAUUGUAUGAGCCAAUCUCUAAAAAUUUAAAAGCUUAGAAUCCAUGAGGACUGGACUAAUUGGCUACUCCUUUCUGAGCUGCUGUGUUACCACACCUCCUAGUCUAGAAAGGAGAGGACUUCUCUUUCAGAAUAUGUCUCUCACAUGAAGCAGACCCAGAAGUCCACCUGUUACAUCACUGGUGAGAGCAAAGAGCAGGUUGUCAACUCUGCUCUUGUGGAGCAAAUGCAGAAGCAGGGCUUUGAGGUAGUUUAGAUAACCGAGCCUAUUGACGUAUACUGCAUGCAGCAGCUCAAGGAGUUUGAUGUGAAGAGCCUGGUCUCCUGUUACCAAGGAGGGCAUGGAGCUGCCUGAGAAUGAAGAGGAGAAGAAGAAAGUGGAGGAGAACAAGGCCGUUUGAGAACCUCUGCAAAUUCAUGAAAGAAAUCUUAGAUAAGAAGGUAAAAAAGGUGACAGUUUCCAAUAGGCUUAGGUCUUCACCCUGCUGCAUUGUGACUAGCACCUACACUUGGACAGCUAACAUGGAGCACAUCAGAAAAGCCCAGGCACUUUGGGAUAACUCUGCAACGGGCUGUAGGAUGACCAGAAAGCACCUGGAGCUCAACCCUGACCACCCCAUUGUGGAGACACUGCAGCAGAAGGCAGAGGCCGACGAGAAUGACAAGGUCAUCAAGGACUUGGUGGUGCUGGUGUUUGAAACGACACUUCUCUCUUCUGGCUUCUCACUUGAGGAUCCCCAGACCCACUCCAGCAGUUAUCCACUUCAUGGUCAAGUAAGGGCUGGGCAUUGAUACAGAUGAAGUGACAGCACAGAAACCCAGCGCUGCUCUUCCUGAUGAGAUCCUCCCCCUUGAGGCUGAUGAAGGAUGCCUUUCCCGUGGAACAAGUAGAUUAGGAGUUUCUACCUGCAGACCUUGUGCCCUCUGUAUAGUGUCCCCAUGGCUUCCCCAGUGGCCUUGAGUGGCCCUGGCCCACCUGGUUCCCUCUGCUGAUUCCAAGUGGGUUUUUCCCCUCCUGUCUUUCUGUCUAAGGCAGGAUACAAGGGCCCUGAGCGCUAUCUUUUCCCACAUCUGACAUUGGGUUUGGAUGUGUGUUGUGGGGUUUUUGUUUAUUUUGUUAGGAAAUCAAAGAUGUGAAAUAAAGAAGACGCAGUUUUAUACAAAAAAGAAGAAGAAGAAGAAGAAGGGUUUUGGAAGAUUCCUAAUAACAUUGACGUUAGUAGAUCACGUACAUUUAUGAAUAACUUACUAUGUGCCAGGCUAUGUUCAAGGGACUAGAGAUACAAUUGAGAAUAUUAUGAUCAAGAUGGAAUGAAAUGAAAUGAUGAAGGCUUCCAAGAUUCAGGAAGUAGGGUGAAUAUGUCUUAAAUUGUAAUAAGCAUUAUUUUCUUUGUCUUUAAAAAAAAAGACCAAGAACCUUACUGUUCAGAAGUGUUAAGUCUGCUAAAAGAGUCAGAAAAUCAGAAAACAAUGUAAGUGCCACAGUUUUUAAAUCCAAAUUCUGUUAAGAAGCUGAGUUUUGGAGAUUUAAGCAGCUUUCCCGAGCUCGUGUAACUGGCUAAUGGCAGAGCCAGGCCCAAAGCCCGCUGCAUACUUACUAAUUUACUUGUUAACUUUUAGAAGUAAUAUGUGUGACCUCAAUUGUCUUCUUUUUCUUCACUUCUCAGAUAAAUCAGUUAAUAGUUUAAGCAAUUUUUCUAAGUAAUUACCAUAUUUUAAUUUUAUCUUCUAUAUAAUUUUUAUCUUCUGUUGGAAUUUUAUCUCAUUUCUUGUUUUAUCAACUUUAGACAUUAUCUGAGGUCUUCUUACUGAAAAAUGAGGAACUUGGUUUGCUCAUACUAUCUCCCACAUCACCUUCAUCUCUUCACAUUCUGGUUUUUGUAAUGUAAAUUUUAUAGACUUUUAGUGAUUUCUCUGUAAAUUUCAGCUGACUCCUCAUUACUUCCUUUCCUUCCCUCUUUCUUCCCAUACUCUCAAUUUUCAUUAAUUAUGACCCUUGACAAUAAAAUGCAAAUGUUAAUUCUUCUGUAUAUAUACUUCAAUGCUUUGCUACUGGUUGACUUGGAAAAUUAAAUCCAGUAGACAGCAUUUACAAUAUUAUGACUAUGUAAGUAUUCAAAAUAGAACCAAAUACAGUGGUGAAUAGAGUCACAUAAAAGCAAAUAGAAAACUGAAUUACUUAAAACUUUCCCAAGGGAGUCUUCCAACUAUCUCUGCUUAAUGGAAUCUUUUUUGUUUUGUCCUGGUUUUCUUCCCAUUUUCUAAGUCCUCUCAACUGCUGCUGUUUCUUGUAUUCUAUGUGUUUUGCUUUCUUGAAUUACUUUUGCUGGAGUACUUUCUUAAGUAAUUUUUUUCAUAAAGGACGCUUGGGUGGUAAACUUAUCAAGUUAACACUGUUGAAAAUCUCUCUGUUGUACUCUUGUAUUUAAUUGGUAAUUUGAGAAUGCAGAAUAGACACAAAAUCAAUAUACAUACUACAGAUUAUCCAUAUGCUCUCAUUCAUUUCUCCACACACAUUUUACACUUUCUUCCUGUUCUAGAUAGCUUCUUCCAUGUCGAUGUUUGAAAUCAUUGCAACAGUUCCUGGUUGCUGUUUCAAGGUCUUUAAAUGCUGUUUGGUAAAGUUGUGAAAGUUUUUCUUUCCCAGUGUCCCAGAGCAAAUUAUCACACGUUAAUUCUGAGUUUUAAGGAGGCCACAUUAUGUCAGCUUUAUGUCCAAUCCAUCAACCACUGAAUUUGUCUGGAAGAUACUCUUACUGGAAAAGCGUAAGGUACUGGGCUCCCUCGUUGUUGCAGGAUAGUUGUUGCCUUGAAACUGUAGGCAUCAGGCCACAUCUGAAACAUGUUCAAGUCAGCACCCAUCAUGACAGUCACUUUUAGAACAUUUUCAUUACACCAAAAAGAAACCUCGGACUCAUUAGUAGUCACUCCCACUGCCUCCCAAGGACCGCCACCACCACCCUGAGCCAUAAACACCCAAAAUGUGGUCUCUCAUGACUGAUGUCUUUCACUUUGCAUAAUGUGUUCAAGGUUCAUCCAUGCUGUAGCAUGUAGCAGUGUUGGUAGAUGCUUAAUCUCUUGAAAGUCCUCGUUAUUCAACAUCUUUUAAAAAAUACUUUUCCAAUAUCAAGUACUUCUAGGUGGUUUUUGCUUUAUAAUCUAGUCAGUUUCCCUGUUAAUAAUGUCAGCACUUCAGUUGUUAACUGAUAGAUUCAGAGAUUUGUUGCUGUAUGAGUUAACGACAUCUACCCAUUCUGCAGUAAAAACUUCUCACUUUGCUUUUCUGCAUCUAGGAGAUAGACCUAAUCCAAAUAGACCUACUUUCAAAAGAUGUUAGACAUAACUAUUACAGUCCAGGGAGUUUUAUGCUGUUUACAUUGAUUCUGUUUUAUGAUUUUAUUCUUUUUUUGUAGUAUUUUCUUGGAUAUGAUAGAAACAAUUUGAGGAGCUUUUAUAUAUUUCUGAAGAGAUUUGUAUCUGUGGUAAAGUGUUUCAUGUAUAUUCUUUGUUCUACUCAUAGCCUUUUGAAAUAUCUUUUUCCAAUGUGUUAAGUCAAAACUUACCCCAAAUCAUUUGAUCCCUUGUUCAGAGAGCUAAGAUCUUAAAGGAAUUGAUUGCCUAACACAUCGAACAUCCAGAAUCAGUGCUCUUGGUUUGACCACACUAACUCCAUUUAAACCUGAGCAAUUUUUCUUGAUACUUAGUUGUUAUCUUUCUAAGUAUUUUAAGUUGGGACAUGUGGAAAAGUUUUCUUUGGCCAUUUAUUGGAAGCUGAAUCACAUAUCAGUAACACUGAGUAAAAGCAUUCUUCCUUCUUGAAAUGUCUAUAGUUUUUUGUUUUGUUUUACCAAAUACCUGUAGAUUAAAUUGUUAUUUGAAGACGUUCUCAGAGAGGUUCUUAACUAUUCAAAUUGUUAAUGUGCUUUGAUUUUCUU